AUUGAACGCUGGCGGCAGGCCUAACACAUGCAAGUCGAGCGAGCGGCGGAAGUGAGAGUAAUGUAUGGGGAUGUUCCUGAUGGAGGGGGAUAACUAAUGGAAACGGUAGCUACUACCGCAUACCAGCGGAUGAGCCCAUAUGGGAUUAGCUAGUAGGGGAGGUAACGGCUUACCUAGGCGACGAUCCCUAGCUGGUCUGAGAGGAUGAUCAGUCACACUGGGACUGAGACACGGCCCAGACUCCUACGGGAGGCAGCAGUGGGGAAUAUUGCACAAUGGGCGCAAGCCUGAUGCAGCCAUGCCGCGUGUAUGAAGAAGGUCUUCGGGUUGUAAAGUACUUUCAGUCGGGAGGCGUUACCGACAGAAGAAGCACCGGCUAACUCCGUGCCAGCAGCCGCGGUAAUUC
rnacentral:rRNA from 1 species